UACGAAGGGGGCUAGCGUUGUUCGGAAUCACUGGGCGUAAAGGGCGCGUAGGCGGCCGAUCAAGUCGGGGGUGAAAGCCUGUGGCUCAACCACAGAAUUGCCCUUCGAUACUGUUUGGCUUGAGACCGGAAGAGGUUAGUGGAACUGCGAGUGUAGAGGUGAAAUUCGUAGAUAUUCGCAAGAACACCAGUGGCGAAGGCGGCUGACUGGUCCGGUUCUGACGCUGAGGCGCGAAAGCCAGGGAGC
rnacentral:rRNA from 1 species